rnacentral:misc_RNA from 1 species
GAUGAAGAACGUAGCAAAAUGCGAUAAGUAAUGUGAAUUGCAGAAUUCAGUGAAUCAUCGAAUCUUUGAACGCACAUUGCGCCCGCUGGUAUUCCGGCGGGCAUGCCUGUUCGAGCGUCAUUUCAACCCUCAAGCCCCCGGGUUUGGUGUUGGGGAUCGGCUCUGCCCUUCUGGGCGGUGCCGCCCCCGAAAUACAUUGGCGGUCUCGCUGCAGCCUCCAUUGCGUAGUAGCUAACACUUCGCAACUGGAACGCGGCGCGGCCAUGCCGUAAAACCCCAACUUCUGAAUGUUGACCUCGGAUCAGGUAGGAAUACCCGCUGAACUUAAGCAUAUCAAUAAGCGGAGGA